rnacentral:rRNA from 1 species
GAUGAACGCUGGCGGCGUGCCUAAUACAUGCAAGUCGAGCGAACGGACGAGAAGCUUGCUUCUCUGAUGUUAGCGGCGGACGGGUGAGUAACACGUGGAUAACCUACCUAUAAGACUGGGAUAACUUCGGGAAACCGGAGCUAAUACCGGAUAAUAUUUUGAACCGCAUGGUUCAAAAGUGAAAGACGGUCUUGCUGUCACUUAUAGAUGGAUCCGCGCUGCAUUAGCUAGUUGGUAAGGUAACGGCUUACCAAGGCAACGAUGCAUAGCCGACCUGAGAGGGUGAUCGGCCCCACUGGAACUGAGACACGGUCCAGACUCCUGCGGGAGGCAGCAGUAGGGAAUCUUCCGCAAUGGGCGAAAGCCUGACGGAGCAACGCCGCGUGAGUGAUGAAGGUCUUCGGAUCGUAAAACUCUGUUAUUAGGGAAGAACAUAUGUGUAAGUAACUGUGCACAUCUUGGCGGUACCUAAUCAGAAAGCCACGGCUAACUACGUG